UAUCUCUGUAGAGUCUGCAUAUCAAUAAGCGGAGGAAAAGAAACUAACAAGGAUUCCCUUAGUAACGGCGAGUGAAGCGGGAAGAGCUCAAAUUUGAAAUCUUCAAGGUUCUACCUUGACGAAUUGUAGUUUAAAGAAGUGUUUUCUGUUAGAUGAGUAGCAAAAGUUCCUUGGAAUGGGACAUCAUAGAGGGUGAGAAUCCCGUAUUUGGUUAUUCAUUCUAGCUUUGUGAUACACUUUCAAAGAGUCGGAUUGUUUGGGAAUGCAGUCCAAAAUGGGUGGUAAAUUUCAUCUAAAGCUAAAUAUUGGCGAGAGACCGAUAGCGAACAAGUACCGUGAGGGAAAGAUGAAAAGAACUUUGAAAAGAGAGUUAAACAGUACGUGAAAUUGUCAAAAGGGAAGCGUUCGACACCAGUGUUGUUUUCUCGAAAAUCAAUUAAAAAUGGCUUGAUUUUGUGUUGUAUUGACCUUAAAAGCUUUCUUCACUUUUUUCAUGUCUUUUUUAAUGCACUUUUCGUUUAACAAGUCAACAUCAGUUUCUUUUGUUGUAAAAAGGUCAUUGGAAGGUGGCUUUCUUUUCGGAGAAAGUGUUUAUAGCCUUUGACUCCUGCAAUCGGAGAGACUGAGGUCUGCAGCGUAGAUCCUUCUGGAUUAGAUUCAUUUGUGCUAAGUUACAACCGUUUAUAGACAACUUGUUGACUAUAUUCGAUCCUGUAGCUUAUUCGCUUAUGUAAUUUUACCUACGCUUAGGAUGUUGACUGAUAUGUAGUCGUA
rnacentral:rRNA from 1 species